rnacentral:rRNA from 1 species
AGCGGCGGACGGGUGAGUAACGCGUGGGUAACCUGCCUCGAUACAGGGGAGUAACAGUUGGAAACGGCUGCUAAUACCGCAUAAGCGCACAGUACCGCAUGGUACCGUGUGAAAAACUCCGGUGGUAUGAGAUGGACCCGCGUCUGAUUAGCUAGUUGGUGGGGUAACGGCCUACCAAGGCGACGAUCAGUAGCCGACCUGAGAGGGUGACCGGCCACAUUGGGACUGAGACACGGCCCAA